rnacentral:tRNA from 1 species
GAGAGCAUACCUCAGUGGCAGAGUGUGUGCUUAGCAUGCAGGAGGCCCUGGGUUCAAUUCCCAGUAUCUCC